rnacentral:lncRNA from 1 species
UGCCUGUACCAAGUCAGGAAUAUGACAGUUGUUAUCCAUUCGUUUGAUGUGUUUGAUUUUGCCUUUUGAUUUUGGACUUUCCUUUUUGAAUUUUCCUCGGAGUUCAGUAUUUUUGUGUUUUUACUUUUUAUUAUAACAAUGCUAUAUUUUUCUAAUAUGAUAGCGAUAUGAUUUUAAUAUGAAUAAUUUAUGAAUGCAAUAUUUUUCUAAAUAUAACUGCGAUAGUUUUCUCAUAUAAAACGAAAACGAUAACACAUCACAACGUAUGUCAAGAAACCCGCAAACAUAAUUCACAAUCAUAUCUUAUGACCAGUUUAAUGUUAUAGGCCAGAAAUCACUUAAAGUUUGCGCCUGUAACAAAAUUAACGCUUACAUGAACUUAUAAUCUCGAAAAUAUUCAUUGAACCUGUCGAUUGUUGACAGUUUUAACAACCUGUUAGGUCCAUUGUUUUCGAUCAUAUGGUUAUACCGACUAAUUGAAUUUGCAGUGAUGACUCAUUGGCGGAAUUAAUUUUAAAUGUCGCUAAUGUAAAUAGUCUACCGACAUAUUUGAAUCUAUAAUAGUAUAGACAAAAAUAUC